UGGCCAGGGAGCUGCAGGCAAGGGACUAAGGGGAGGGGGGCUCAGUGCCAGCUGCUUAAAAAUGCCCCUGUGGCAGCGAGGGGCACCAGAGGCUGGGUCUAAUUAGUUGAGAAGCAGUGACACCCCCAACCACUCCCCAAACAGGCUGGCUCCCAUCUCCAGGCCCCAAGGAGCCACACCUGGACCAGACCCCAGGAAAGACAUGUGGUGGAAACCCUAGGGCCCUGGAUCCCAAGGAGAGCAAGGGCUGUAACAAGUGCACAGAUGUGAGUGCGCUGAGGCAGGGGAACUGUGGGCAAAGAGGUCCCUCCAGAAAGAGCUGGGUGUGAGCAUGGGUUCGUGAGCUUGCCUGGAGCCCCAGCCUCAGCCCUCUCUCACUGAGGUGCCAUCUGGCUCACAGAUGUGGCCCAUUCCCAGCCCCUCGUGUUUCUUGGAAAUGAGAAAGGCCAGGAAAGGGCACAGGGGCUUUCGCAAUGACAGUGGUGAUGAUAGCUUUGACGUGUGGUCAUCCAGUCGGCCACUGCCCACACCCAAGAGAAAGCUGGAUUGAGCACCAGGAGCCUGGGUUCAAGUCUGCCUCUCAAGCUGUUCCACAGGUGACCCUGAGCAAAUCGCACAGGCUCCUGGAACUUUAGAAAGGGGAAGAAUUAUUCCUGCCUCUGGUGACAUCAGUGAAUGUGCCUUGAGUUAUGGGAGUGUUUUGCAGGCUGAAAGCUUUGUGUACAUGGAAGGGGUCAAAGACAGCCACAAGCCUGUCCCUUUGGUCUUGGUCAUCAUGUUAACCCCAGGUUUUGAUUUAACCCUACAUGCUCCUUUCUUAUGUGUGAGGCUGAGGUGGGGACAUUGGUCAGAGGAGACCCUGGGAAAUUUCAUUUCAGGACAGUUCUUUUGUUAAGGGGCCUGGGUGUGCUGAGAAGGGAAGGUGGCUCCUUCUACUCCUGGAGCUUAAAGUUUCUCACAAGCUCUCCCUUAAAAGCCAAGCAGGCCAAGAAGGGAUAAUGGCUGCUCAGGACCCGAGGGGCAGGAUCUCUGAGGCCCAGAAGAUCUCAGUAGGUUUAGUCCAAGAGUAUCCAGAAGUGGCCCAGGCCCAUUCUUCAGCCCUCAGAGCCUGGCAGCCUGGUCAGGACCCUCAAAGGCCAUGACCGUACCCGUAGGGCACCCUGGUGUCCUUCUGACAGGUGGGAUCUUUUUUUCUUACAGGCAAGGGCACUAGCUAGUGGGAGCCACCCCUGCUACGCUGAUGCUGGAGAAGCAAGAACUCUGGAGAAGCAGCCUCCUGGGACCAGAGGGGGGCCAGCAGCAGGCAGCUCGGCUACAGAACUGUGAGCCCACCCCACCUCCACCCCUCCGGUACCCACAUCCGCUCCCCACUCCAGCCCACCUGCAGGCAGCUCUUGGAGUAUCCUGGGUCCCUCAGGAUAAACUCCCCACCCUAACCUCAGAAUGACCAAGAAACUGGGCCUCAGGAUGACGAGAGGCAGAAUGGGCCUUGGUAAAGGAAGACCCCCCACUGAUUGGUGGCAGUGCGGGCAGUUCAGGGCUGUCAGGGUCUGGGUUGUAGGUAAAAAGAAAUGGAACCCAAGAAGGGAAAUCCAACUAGGAGCCAAGAAUCCAGUCUACCCCAUCCUCCUUACAAAAUAGCGAUGCAAAGCCUGUGUGAUUUGGACAUAAAGCCUCUGUUACUCAGCUUGAUUUGGUGAAUAACAGACUUGAAAGAAAUGUGGAAAAUAAUAGUAAUCUUCCCUAGAAAGGAGUAAACAGGGUUGAGCUCCCAAAGCAGGAAGACCUGGGGCUGUGUGAUCUUGGAGGAGUCACUCAACCUCUCUGAGCCUAGUGAUAAAGAGCCAGCUCAUAGGGCUUUGAGAGGGUUUGUGAGGUUGGGCUGGUGUCCCCAGGCACAGCCCUUGGCACAUAGUGAAACUCAAGAAUACAGAGCAGUUUUUACCACUCAUCACAUUAUUCCCACACUUGCCAAUUUUUUAAUUUCUUGCUCAUGGUGGAACAGGUAGGGUGAGGUGCCAGCUCCAUAAGGCAAGUGGAGAAACUGAGGCCUGGGGAGGUGAAAGCAUUCACUCAGAGUUGCACGUAGAGUCAGUUGCAAAGGAGAAUUCUGGCACCAGUUCUCAUGUGGAUGGAAAAAGUGCAGGAAGAUUUGGAGGUGAGCAGAGGAGAAGGGAGGAGGAGGCAGGGUUCCAGGAAAGGAGUUGACACUCAGGGACGUGGGACAAGGCCCAGGCCUGUCUUACAUAACAUGGUCAACCUGUUCACCCCUGCAUGCCCCACAAAUGUGUGCAAACGUGCACCCCGGCACAGCGCACACGCAGUCCUCCCUCACUAGCAAAUAAGCCACAGAGACUGGGUUUAAACAAAUUGGAUUAGGAGGGCUGCAGGCGCCUCCUCCCCCCGGCUGUCUGGCUCUGACACUAAACAGACCUGCAGAACCGCCAGCUGUGGUCUCUCGGACACACUGACAGUCGGUCCUUGGCUCCCUCACCCCACCCGUGGGCCUCAGGAAGGGGGUUGGGGUCCGAGAGGAUGCCACAAUGAUGGAUGGGGUGAGGGAGGUUCCGGGGCUAGCUCAACAGCGCACAGGAUGUUAGUGCUUUUUCGAGGCACAUUUCCGAGCUGUUCCCAGACCCACCCCCACUUCCCCCCUCACCCUCCUCUCCGGCAGCCUCUCCCAUGGCCACUGCUGCCGGCUGGGACUUGGGCCCAGCCUGAGGCUUCAACCAGAGCCCAGAGCCCCGUCCUUGAGCAGAUUCACCUCAUCUUUCAGUCCUGCAGCUGGGCUGAGCGGGGAGUGGUCAGCUCAGAAGACACUGGCCUGGGGAUGAGACACGGGGGAUGCUUCAGAGGGAAGAAAGAGCUUCUGAACAGACAGUGCUGUCUUAAAGGUGGCAUCUUGGUGCUUUCUCAUGCCUUGUUUUCUUUCAUCUUCAGAAUGUGUCUGGGGGUGAGGGGACGGGUGUGACUACCAAAAAUUCCUUUCUUGGUGAUUCCACAUCACCCCUUUCUGAUCCCUGAGCCUGUGCCACGCCCUGUGUGAUGCGCUGGGGACACCAGGGUGAAUACUUACAGGCCCUGUUCCCCUUCCUUCACGAAACAGCCUCCUUCGGGCUGGGUCACUGGGCACUGGGGCCUCCCUGGUCUUCCAGGAUUGCAACUUCACAGAAUCCCUUUUCCAUAAGGCACAUGAAAGUGACUGUGACCCGCAACAGGAGCCUUGACAACCAGCCAAUUCAGAACACACACCUUGACAUCGGAAGUCCCCGAGUUCAAAUCCUGCCUUGCUCCCUUUCAGCUGGAAAGCUGCGGUCAAAUUACUUAGCCUCUCCAAGCCAGUUUUCCCUUCUGCAAAGUGAGGUUACACAAGCUGCCACCUCACAGAAUGAGUGUGAGAAUUAAUUCUUAUUUUCCACACCCUCAUUUGACAGGGGGAGAAACAGAAGCCUAGAGAGGGAAAGGGCUUGGUUAGGAUUACACCAUGAGUCGGGGGUUAAGUCAGGAUGGGGUAGGUCCCCUCUUUCUCUGGGUGUUCCUCUCCGCCAUCCCUUAUCUCAACGUAAAUCCUCCCCAGUUGCCCAGGUUGUCCAGGCUAUUCCUGGCACACGUCCUGGGGCCUGCCCUCCACCUUCAGCCCUGCUCUGGCCUGUGCAGCAGCAGAGUCCUGGGUGACCAGCAGUGGCCCCCGGCCCUCUGAGUGGUGGUGGAGGGUGGGGGAGCACUGCAUCAAGCUCCCAGCCCAGAGCAGCCUGGCCAUAUAAGGGAAGGAGCCCAGGGAGGCCUCCUGGCUCAGGCCUGGCGAGAAAACCCAGACAGCCACUGUUUAUUUUCUCCUCCCCAGCUCACCCACGCCUCUCCAAGCCUCCCGACAGAAGACAGAGGUCCCCCACAGCCCAGAGACAUUUCCUGAAGACAUGGGGACCACAGAGGCAGAAACAGCCCAUCCACCCAGGAGCUGCCCCCCACGCUGCCGGGAGCCAGCACCCAGAGCCGCCAGAUAAAACUGAGGCCACCUGGUUCAACAUUGCCUUUCACAGAAGGGGAAACAGCCACAGAAAGAAGGGCCUGGUAAGAAGUGGAACCUGGGACCCCCAAGCGGUGUCUCUCAUCCUGACUGGGGAUCCAGAGUAGGAGGGAGCCUUUGGUGGGGUAAGUGGAAUGGGGGAGGGGUAGCCAUAGACCCCUCUUCUCAGUAAGGCCCUCAUGUGAAGGAGGCAGGGGUUGGGACAAGUGCUAAGUAUGCAAGACUCAAGGGAAGAACUGCUGGAGCCAGGAGAAGCACCUCCCUCCCGGCCCUUCUGCCCCUCCUCACAGCCCAGCUGCACUGACUCCUCCUCCAGGAAGCCUUCUCAGCUUCCCCAGGGGUGGGAACCUUUUUGUCCUCCAAGUGUGCUUGGCUGUCCUUUCUUGGGCUCUCUCUCUCUCUCUUUCUCUCUCUCAUCCCACUUGAGUCUGCCCCCUAUUCACCUUGUGAGGGGAAUUUUCCUUCUACUCAAUCUGACUGAGGUCCUCCAGGUCAAGGACAGCGUGGCUCUCAGUCCCACUUCCCCUUGGCGCAUAGAAGAGGCAGUGUGCUGAAUGGACAGGUGAAAUGAUUAGACCCUGCCCCCAAACCAAAGGCCUGGCCAAUCGGACAGGGCAUGAGACAUUCAGCGUAGAGGUUAAAAUGAGGGCCCUGGGUUAGGAACCCCAGCUCAGUUCUCAGCUCUGUACCCUUGGAAAAUUACCUUCCCAUGGAGCUUUGUGGAUGCACAGGGACUUGCACAAAGAAAACAUUCAAUAUCCGGGACUAUAAAAUUCCACAAAUGACCAUGCUUAUUACAUUAAUUAUCACGAUGAUUAUUCCAGACACAAAGGAACAGAACGAAGCACCAACAGCAAGGGGCAAGCAGAUUCAAGGGCCACAGAGGAGAUGGAGGCAAACACCUUCCCCUGGUCAGAGGCUGAGCCUCAGCCCUUCUCCCUGCACCAGUUUCUCCUUCAGAAGCAUGGGACUACCUCCCAUCUAGUUCUCGUUUCUAAACCCAGGGGAGAUGCUAUCUUUGCUGCAAUAAUCUUAGCCUACAUCUUGGAAUGGAAAUGGCCUUGGUGGAAAUGGUCUUCAACUCCCCUGGUCCAAGCUCAGGCCCUGUGACACUGGAACAAUCCCCUUCCUGGUCCUCCAUGUAGGAGCAAUAACAUUCCCUUGCCGGCGGCACCAGCCGUUCUGAUGAUUAAAUGGUAUCAGACGCUGUUUCCCAAACUCAGUCAUUCAGAUGCCCCCUAUUUUAUUUCUUCCAUGUCUGCAAAUGACUAUAAUAUUUUUAAAUGUAAGAUGAGUCCUUUUUAAUACAAAUAGAAAUAGCUACUGUAAAUAGAAAACUAACACUGUGCCUAAUUAGGAAAUAAAGGUAACCAUAAAUACAGUAAAAAUGAAACAAUGUUAUUACGCUUUAACCUGAUAAUGUGGCUUGCAAGGCCCUGGGCCUGAAGCCUGGGCAAUAAGUGAGAGUUAGAAAGGUGUCAAAGACAUGAUAGCAGCAAACUGAGGCUUUCUACCCCACGGUAAAUAGGACUGAAAGCAAAUUGACAGGGAGCAACUGGUCCAUUCCACAACAGAAUGCUCCCUGUCAAUUUACUUUCCAUUGUGUUGUGUCCUGUCUCCCAGCAGAGGCUACAAACUCCCCAGAAUCACUUACUCACCUGCUGCACGUGAGAAGCCAAAGGUAGUUUAUGUGAAAGGGCUUUGGAAAUAAUCACGCACCAAGUGAAGGCAGAGGACACACCUUGUCAGCCUAGUUCUCGGCAGCAAAUCAUCUCUUUUUCAGGAUAACCCUGCCUGAUUCUUACUGAAAUCUCCUUGCUGAUCAUGCUAAGCUCUUCUCUCUCGGGGGCAGUGGGAGCCGUGGAGAGUGGAGUAGACCAGCUGUCUGUGACCUGCAAGGCAGUCCAAUGUUGGAAUCACUCCCCAGCCAAAUGCAGGGUUUUAAAAAAUCUAUUUAUUUAUUUAUGUAGAGACCAGGCUAUGAGACUGGCUAAUUUUUUGUAUUUUUGGAUAGAGACAGGAUUUCAUCAUGUUCCCCAGGCUGGUCUUGAACUCCUGGGCUCAAGCGAUCCACCUGCCUUGGCUUCCCAAAGUGUUCGGGAUUACAGGCGUGAGCCACUGUGCCCAGCCACCAAAUGCAGUUGAAAAGAGUUUCUGCAAGAGAAUUCCACAGAAGAGGAAAGCAGUUAUCCGGCUGGGAAUACCUUAGACAGAGGCUGUCCUCUACACAGGCUGUCAGAACUGACCUACUGACCUGCCUGGCAUGAUAGACCAGAGGGAAACACUCUUUCCACUCUUCCCAGAGUGAGGCCUGACUUCAGAUUUCCGCUAGAGGUGUAAAAGACAGACUUUAUUUUCAUUUAUUUUUUUUUUCAGACAGAGUCUUACUCUGUCGCCCAGGCUGGAGUGCAAUGGCAAGAUCUUGGCUCACUGCAACCUCUGCUUCCCCGGGUUCAAACAAUUCUCCUGCCUCAGCCUCCCAAGUAGCUGGGAUUACAGGCUCCCGCCACCACGCUUGGCUAAUUUUUGUAUUUUUAGUAGAGACAGGGUUUCAUCAUGUUGGCCAGGCUGGUCUUGAACUCCUGACCUCGGGUAAUCCGCCCGCUUUGGCCUCCCAAAGUGUUGGGACUACAGGCGUAAGCCACUGCGCCCAGCUUUUUUUUUUUUUUUUUUUUUUUUUAGAGACAAGGGCUCCCCAUGUUGCCCAGGCUGGUCUUGAACUCUAGGCUCAAGCGAUCCUCCUGUCUGAGCCUCUCAAAGUGCUAGGAUUACAGAUGCGAGCCACUGCUCCCAGCUCUGUUUUUGUUUUUUUAAGGAGGUAUAUUUUUUCUGUUCUCUCUCAGUCCUGAAGAAAGGCUACCCACCCCCUUCAGACAUUCCUGAAAAUAUAUGUCAUCCAACAUCAAGGCUACCACAGUGACCACUAAGCAAUGCAAGAAGGUCCUCUGGGGUGCCCUGAGAUCUUGGCAGGGCAGGAAGAGUGAGAAGGGGCUUUGCCUGCUCACCUGAAAGUUCCCACCCAAGCCAGGCCCAGAAAACAAAAUGAAUUAUCUACAUGGUCAUCCAAUCAGCCACCAAAUGGCAUUACCUGGGUCCAUCAUCAUGUACCAAGCCACAGGUCAGACCCAGGGCCCCCCAAAUUAACAAGACACAGGCACUGUCCUCAGGAAGUGGAGAUCUAGCCAGGUCAGACCCACACACAAAUAACACUGAUACUAGAGAUAAUGAGAUCGGGAAUUAUGAUUCAGCCGUUCAACCUGGGUUUAUGUGGCAUCUACACCACCUGGCCCUGAUUUCAGUAGUGAGCACAGUUGACAGGGUCCCUUCCCCUUGCAGGUGAGCCACGUAGUCCACAAGUGGAGGUGGUCGUAAGUGAAAACCACAUUACCAGCAUGGUAAAUAGUUAGAAACAGGGCACAGCAUGGGCGAGAACAUGGAGCAGGGGGUGCUGAUGGCUAAAGAAGUCAAGGAGGGGCUGGGCACUGUGGCUCAUGCCUAUAAUCCCAGCACUUUGGGAGACCGAGGUGGGUGGAUCGCCUGAGGUCAGGAGUUCUAGACCAGCCUGGGCAACAUGGUGAAACCCUGUCUCUACUAAAAAUACAAAAAUUAGCUGGGCAUGGUGGUGCACACCUGUAGUCCCAGCUACUUGGGAGGCUGAGGCAUGAGAAUCACUUUAACCUGGGAGGUGGAGGUUGCAGUGAGCCGAGGUCGUGUCUCUGCACCCCAGCCUGGGCGACAGAGGGAGACUGUCUCAAAAAAAAAAAAAGUCAAGGAGGGUUUCCCAGAGUGGCCACUUGAUAGAGACCUAGCACAGGAGGAAGAGAUGGGCAGGGAGAGUGAUGGGGAGCAGCACAGUCCCUGGUAGCCCGAAGUGGGUGAGCACAGGGCUCCCUAGGAGAAUGGAAGGACAUCUAUGAGCUGUAGCCCAAGAGGAAUUGGUCACUGGGGCCAGAUGCGGCAGGCCCUCACAGGCCUUGGGGAGAGCUUCAGAAUUCAGCCUGAGGGCAAUGGGGAGCCCUUUUGGGAUAUUAAACUUGAGAAAGAUAUGACCAUAUUUGCAUCUUGAAAACUCAUUAUGGGAAGAUGGCUGGGAAGAGAGGAGGAGUGGCAGAAGAAAGAUAGGUUGGAGACAAUUGAUUGUUCGGUGAUAUAAAAUGUUAAUUACCAUGAAUGAUGCUGUUUGGCUGGAAUGCACCAAGCAUAAAAGUGGGGCAUGGCGUCAAAAGGUAGGUCAACAUAUUAAAUAAUUCCAUCUAUUGAAAUAUCCAGAAUAGACAGAUCUAUAGAGAUAGAAACUGGUCUGCCCAGGACUAGGGGUUGUCUAAGGAUAAGAAGCUUGUUUUUUGGGUGGUGAAUUAACCUAAAAUGUAUUGUGCCAUUGUUUGCACAACUUUGUGAAUGUAUUAAAAACCACUUAAUUGUACUCACUAAA
rnacentral:lncRNA from 1 species